AGUGGCAGACGGGUGAGUAACACGUGGGCAACCUACCGUAGAGUGGGGGAUAACUAGCCGAAAGGUUAGCUAAUACCGCAUGAAACGUGCUGUGGCAUCACAGAACGUUAGAAGGAGCAAUCCGCUUUAUGACGGGCCCGCGUCCGAUUAGCUAGUUGGUGGGGUAAUGGCCUACCAAGGCUCCGAUCGGUAGCUGGUUUGAGAGAGCGACCAGCCACACUGGGACUGAAAAACGGCCCAGACUCCUACGGGAGGCAGCAGUGAGGAAUUUUCCGCAAUGGGCGAAAGCCUGACGGAGCGACGCCGCGUGUGGGAAGAAGGCCUUCGGGUCGUAAACCACUGUCGAAGGGGACUAUACUGAAGGUACCCUUGGAGGAAGCCCCGGCUAACUACGUGCCACCAGCCGCGGUAAGACGUAGGGGGCAAGCGUUAUUCGGAAUUAUUGGGCGUAAAGCGCUCGUAGGCGGGACAGGAAGUCCGUGAAGAAAGACCUGGGCUCAACUCAGGGAACGGCACGGA
rnacentral:rRNA from 1 species